AAUUCAAACGAUACCCAACCCUACACAUCACACAUUUUAUCUUUUUUUUAUGUGUAUAGAGAUAUAUUUGUAUAAUAUGUGUAUUUUUUGGUGCUAUGGUUAACUGUCCAUGUCAUCUUGAUCCCCAGAGACUGUUUUUUUUUUCUCUCUCUCUAUUAUUUCCCCAUCUUUCAUUUCCAUGUUUGGGUGCAUUCACACCAUGUCGUAAUUACGAGAUUCCGACUUGUAAAAAGUGUUGAUGUCCUGGUAGAACGGGAAAGCGUCGUGUGUUGCGAUCUCGUAAUUACGACAUGGCUUGUUCACAUGCUCCGUCACAUGCCUGACCGCUGUUUUGUGUUCUCUCAGGUCCGUCUCGUCAUGGGGCGAUUGUAAAUGCGUGACCCCGGUUGGCGCCUGAGGAACCCCGGAUUGAAAACCCUGAAAUCUACACAAAGGCUACAUGGGCCUAAAGGCGCAGUUGUCUAGCUGUUGAGUUUUGCUGGUUAGCUGUUAAGAUCCGGUGUUGCAGUGCUGAGUGCUUGGCUGUUUCCGGUUUUCUCCAGUUUGCUGCUGUUGCAGGUGUGGUCGAGGUCAAGCAGCAUCAGCACAAUAAAAAAUCCGGUGGCCAAAGCGCUGUCGUCCGUUAAAUUGUGUUACAGUUUGGAAAGUUGGGAGUAUCUUAAACUGUACCAAUCAACAUUGUUCUGUCCUGGAUCUUCAAUAAACCAGUUAUUAAAUGCU